GCAACAGGUGGUUUGCAACCCAGAGGUACUCAAAUUAUGAACUGGUACUUGUUCCGAGUAACAAGUACAUUUUGCUUCUACUGUCUAGUAGUGUUCUAUACGAAACAUAGUCUGACUUUCACGUGAUGAUGCUAGUUAAAAAGCGCAUGUUUUCUGUUACAUUUAUGUGCUGCUGCCAUGAAUUUAAAACUUUAAUAAUUGGAUUGAAAAAAGCCAGUUGGUUUCAAAUUAAAAUAGUGUACUAGUCGAGGAAGUUGUUUAAGUCGACAAGUACGUUGUGGUGCAGUGUGCAUAACCUUUCACUCCUUUCUUUCGACCUAUGAUUCCUUGUUAAUGUAGGCGAUGUCUUUGCUGCACACGUCUUUCGGUGUAGAACGCUGGCACACUGCUUGUAUCGUGAGCAGCUUCUAGAUUUGAUAGUGUGUCGUGAGCAGCUCAAUUAAUCUGACAUAAAAUCUCGUUAUUUUACUUUAUAAAGAAAGUUCUAACAACGAAGUUUUGUGUGACCUCUACUGAAAAUUGGUGUUGACAAAAGUUUGUUGGUACAUCAUAUGAUCCCUCUCUCCAUCUACUUAACUUUGGACUUCCUUUCUUGAGGCGGAGAUUGUACAACCAUACCAUGUCAACUUGAUGUAAUCCAGUCUUAUCAGCAUGAACAUAAUAAUGACUUUUUGUUUUAUUUAUUACUAAAUUAGUUAAUUGUUUCAUGUUAAAUUCAUGUCUACUGUCAAUGGUGUUCUUUAAUGUCUGUAGUCUCUACAUAUUCCGUGCAAUACUCUUUUUGACUCUUCUCCAAGUAAGAGUACAGAAAUUCUGAUAGCACCUUAAGUCCUCUACCAAACAUCACUAAUGAUGGUGUGCUGCCUGUACAUUUAUUUACUACUGAAUGGUAAUUCAUUAAUAAAAAUGGAAGAUCUUGA